GGUACCAGUGCCGCUGGGCACACUGGCUUCACGCCGGCUCCGCCUCACCAGCAAGCGCAUUCCCAGAGGAGAAAAUGAGACACUGAGUGGGACUCAGGGAUUGCUCCAGGCCACACAGUCAGCAGGAGGCAAAGCCCAGAUUCAAAUGCAGAUUACUCAGCUCCACAAUCCACAUCCUCACAGGAGGCUGCACUCCUUGCCCAAGCGUCAGACAGGAGCAAAGAGAAAGAAGGCAACCAGCUGGCUACUUUCUUCCCUUCUUGGAUGCCUCCAACAGGGUGAGAAGGACUAAACAAAUGACCAAGUGUCAUCCCAUUUUGGACAUACUUAAAACACCCCAUGGAAUUUUUAUUCUGACUUUCUUCUGCCUGUGUGGCAUUUAUGUUUAAAUAAAAGAGAAUUCAACUCGUA
rnacentral:lncRNA from 1 species